rnacentral:rRNA from 1 species
CCUACGGGUGGCAGCAGUGGGGAAUAUUGCACAAUGGGGGAAACCCUGAUGCAGCGACGCCGCGUGAGUGAAGAAGUAAUUCGUUAUGUAAAGCUCUAUCAGCAGGGAAGAAAAUGACGGUAACUGAGUAAGAAGCCCCGGCUAACUACGUGCCAGCAGCCGCGGUAAUACGUAGGGGGCAAGCGUUAUCCGGAUUUACUGGGUGUAGAGGGAGCGGAGACGGCAGUGCAAGUCUGGAGUGAAAGGCUGGGGCUCAACCCCCGGACUGCUCUGGAAACUGUACGGCUGGAGUGCAGGAGAGGUAAGUAGAAUUCCUGGUGUAGCGGUGAAAUGCGUAGAGAUUAGGAGGAACACCAGUGGCGAAGGCGGCUUACUGGACUGUAACUGACGUUGAGGCUCGAAAGCGUGGGGAGCAAACAGGAUUAGAUACCCCGGUAGUC